GAUGAACGCUGGCGGUAUGCCUAACACAUGCAAGUCGAACGGGAACCUUCGGGUUUUAGUGGCGGACGGGUGAGUAACGCGUGAGAAUCUGCCUUCAGGAUGGGGACAACAAUUGGAAACGAUUGCUAAUACCCGAUAUGACGAAAGUUGAAAGAUUUAUCGCCUGGAGAUGAGCUCGCGUCAGAUUAGCUAGAUGGUGUGGUAACGGCGCACCAUGGCGACGAUCUGUAGCUGGUCUGAGAGGAUGAGCAGCCACACUGGGACUGAGACACGGCCCAGACUCCUACGGGAGGCAGCAGUGGGGAAUUUUCCGCAAUGGGCGCAAGCCUGACGGAGCAAUACCGCGUGAGGGAGGAAGGCUCUUGGGUCGUAAACCUCUUUUCUCAGGGAAGAACAAAAUGACGGUACCUGAGGAAUCAGCAUCGGCUAACUCCGUGCCAGCAGCCGCGGUAAUACGGAGGAUGCAAGCGUUAUCCGGAAUGAUUGGGCGUAAAGCGUCCGUAGGUGGUUAUGUAAGUCUGUGGUUAAAGCGUGGGGCUCAACCCCAUAAGGGCCAUGGAAACUACAAGACUUGAGUAAAGUAGGGGUAGAGGGAAUUCCCAGUGUAGCGGUGAAAUGCGUAGAGAUUGGGAAGAACACCGGUGGCGAAAGCGCUCUACUGGACUUAAACUGACACUGAGGGACGAAAGCUAGGGGAGCGAAAGGGAUUAGAUACCCCUGUAGUCCUAGCCGUAAACGAUGGAUACUAGGUGUUGCCCG
rnacentral:rRNA from 1 species